rnacentral:rRNA from 1 species
AGGACAAACGCUGGCGGGGUGCAUGGGACAUGCAAGUCGAACGAGGUGCCAUCGGGCUUGCUCGAUGGUUACCUAGUGGCGGACGGCUGAGUAACGCGUAGGUGACCUACCCGGAAGUGGGGAAUAACUGCCCGAAAGGGUGGCUAAUACCGCAUGUGGUCGGCGAUUCGAUUCGCCGUCUAAAGGAGCAAUUCGCUUCCGGAGGGGCCUGCGUCCGAUUAGCUAGUUGGUGGGGUAACGGCUCACCAAGGCGACGAUCGGUAGCUGGUCUGAGAGGAUGAUCAGCCAGACUGGGACUGAGAACGGCCCAGACUCCUACGGGAGGCAGCAGUCGGGAAUUUUGCCCAAUGGACGAAAGUCUGAGGCAGCAACUCCGCGUGAGGGAUGAAGGCUCUCGGGUCGUAAACCUCUUUUCUCAGGGAAGAUCCAAGACGGUACCUGAGGAAUAAGCGACGGCUAACUACGUGCCAGCAGCCGC